CCUACGGGAGGCAGCAGUGGGGAAUAUUGGACAAUGGGGGCAACCCUGAUCCAGCCAUGCCGCGUGUGUGAAGAAGGCCCUCGGGUUGUAAAGCACUUUCAGUGAGGAAGAACGCCUGGUGGUUAAUACCUAUCAGGAAAGACAUCACUCACAGAAGAAGCACCGGCUAACUCCGUGCCAGCAGCCGCGGUAAUACGGAGGGUGCGAGCGUUAAUCGGAAUUACUGGGCGUAAAGCGCGCGUAGGUGGCUUGAUAAGCCGGUUGUGAAAGCCCCGGGCUCAACCUGGGAACGGCAUCCGGAACUGUCAAGCUAGAGUGCAGGAGAGGAAGGUAGAAUUCCCGGUGUAGCGGUGAAAUGCGUAGAGAUCGGGAGGAAUACCAGUGGCGAAGGCGGCCUUCUGGACUGACACUGACACUGAGGUGCGAAAGCGUGGGUAGCAAACAGGAUUAGAUACCCGAGUAGUC
rnacentral:rRNA from 1 species